rnacentral:rRNA from 1 species
CAGCAGCCACGGGAAUACCGAGGGUGCGAGCGUUAAUCGGAUUUACUGGGCGUAAAGCGUGCGCAGGCGGUUCGCUAAGACAGGUGUGAAAUCCCCGGGCUUAACCUGGGAACUGCAUUUGUGACUGGCGGGCUAGAGUAUGGCAGAGGGGGGUAGAAUUCCACGUGUAGCAGUGAAAUGCGUAGAGAUGUGGAGGAAUACCGAUGGCGAAGGCAGCCCCCUGGGCCAAUACUGACGCUCAUGCACGAAAGCGUGGGGAGCAAACAGGAUUAGAUACCCCGGUAGUCCCUGUCUCUUAUAC